UGAGCUGCUGUCCGGUCCAAACACAUAUAGCCCAAUGAACAGAUGAGCGUAUUUUUCAUCUCCUUUGUUUGCUAAGUCAAGGAACUGAGCUGCUAUCUUCAUCUCUGUCAACACCCCCCCUCAAGUGGGAUCCGGGGGCUCGGACUUCCAACUUGCCUAAGAAAUGAAGAUGAAGUGGACCAGCUAAUGCUUUGGUGAAGAUAUCUGCAAUUUGUGAAGAAGAAGGCACAAAAGAUAAAGAGAUAAGGCCAUCAAGUAAUUUUUCCCUCACGAAAUGACAAAUAUGUUUGGUGCGUUCGUGAAAUACUGGGUUCUUUGCUAUGUGAAUUGCAGUUGGUUAUCACAGUUCACAUUAACAGGAAGAGACAAUGUAACAGACAGGUCACUGAGGAGACGAACUACCCAUGAAAUUUCUGCAACCAAACGGCGAAGAGACCAAUACUCGGCCUUAUCUGAUGAAAGGGAAACAACUUGUUGUUUCUUUGAUUUCCAAGAGAGUGGAGAGUCACCCAUCGUCAAAUAGAAACCACUCACGGAGCAUCGAGAAUCAGAGCAAGAAGCCCAAUCGGCAUCACAAAAUCCUAGAAGCUGAAAACAAGGUGCAGCGGAUAAGAAAAUCCCCAAUCCGGGAUCAUUUCUGAUAUAUCUAAGCGUAUGGAACGCUGCCUGGAGAUGGCCCUGUUUUGGAUUCUGCAUAUAUUGGCUCAAGGUUUGUACAGCAUAAGACAAAUCCGGGUGAGUAUGUGUGAGAAAAUUCAGCUUGCCGAGCAGCCAUUUGUAAAUGGUCGGAUCAGGUAGAGGCUCGCCACAGUCAGAAGAUAGCUUGAGUGUCGGAUUGAGGGGUGUAAAAACAGUUCGAUGCUCAAGAGAGUCAUAUUCGGACAGAAGAUCAAUGGCGAACUUUCUCUGAGUCACAACAAGCCUACCAGGAUAUCAUCGACAUAUACGGCAAUGACAGUAAUAAAAGUUCCAGAGGAUUUGAAGAAUAAAGAAUAGUCAUUAAGAGAUGAAGUAAAACCUCUAGAACCCAAGGCAGAAGAGAGUCGGGCGUACCACUGACGAGAAGCCUGUUUGAGCCCAUAAAGCGACUUACGAAGUCGACAUACAUGAGAAGGAGAUGGUGGAAUAACCCUCGGUGGAAAUUUCAUAAAUACUUCCUCAUUUAAAUCACCAUGGAGGAAGGCGUUGUUGACGUCAAGCUGAUACAAGUUCCAUCCUUUCUUUAUUGCAAUGCUUAAUAUACACCGGAUAGUCGUCAUUUUCACAACUGGUGAAAACGUCUCGGGAAGUGCUUUCUUUGCAGGAGGGAUCUUAACCACAUCCCAUGUUCUAUUGGAAUCCAAUGCCUCAAGUUCUUUAUCCAUUGCAACUUGCCAACGUGGGUGUAAUGCUGCCUCUUGUAAGAAUUAGGCUCAGUAAUGUUGCAUAUGGAAUUAACAAUCUGUUUGCUUUGUUGUGAAAGAACAUUAAAAGAGUAUGAAUGAAAAGGUAUUAAUGGUGGAUUUGGAGAAAUAACUGAAUAAGCUGCAUCACAUACAUAAUCAGAAAGAUAAGAAGGAGAGUGAUGUUGUCUGUUAGAUCUGCGUGGUGCCUGUACUGGAUCUUCUUCAACUAUUGUAAGGGUAACAGGUGUACUGUUAGGUUGAGUAUCAGUAGGUGUUGUAUAAUUUGUGUCUUCUGGUGACAUUUGAGGACUUAAAAUGAGGUCCUGAUGGGAAGAAAACAAGGGUGAAGCCUUGUUUAUAGAAGGAAAGAGUGCUGGAAAUAGUUUUGACAUAGACAUGGAGUGAGAAAAGGGAAAAAUGGAUUCAGAGAACUUUACAUCUCUGGAUAUCAUAACUUGAUUUGUCUGGAGAUUCAAAACUUUAUAUACUUUUUGAGCAAAUGGAUAUCCUAGAAAAACUCGUGGUAAGGCUCUAGGCAUUAGUUUGUCACGAUUUCUUGUUAGUGUGGAAACAAAACACAAACAUCCAAAAGGCUUGAGGUUAGAAUAUUUUGGUGACUUUCCAAACAAUACUUGAAAAGGGGACUUGUUGUGUAGUACCUUAGAGGGAAAUCGAUUGAUCAAAUAGGUUGCAGUUAAGAGGCAAUCACCCCAAAACUUCUUUGGUAGGUGUGAUUGAUAUAGUAAAGCCUUACAUGUUUUUAAUAAGUGCUUGUGCUUUCGUUCUACCACCCCAUUUUGCUGUGGUGUACCAACACAUGAGGUUUGAUGUAUUAUACCUUUAGAAGAGAAAAAAUUUAAGUGGUUUAUCCCUGUUCCCAAUUCACAGGCAUUGUUAGACCUAACUAUCUUGACUUUUGCAGAGAAUUGUCUUUCAACUAGAGAUAAAAAUGACUUCAAAAUGGGAAAAGCACUUGAUUUUGUGAGUAAAAGAUAAGUCCAUGUAGCUCUAGAGAAGUCGUCUACAAUUGUGAGAAAAUAUCUUUCUCCUUUGUAUGUUGGUACAUUAUAGGGCCCCCAGGUAUCUAUGUGUAUUAAUUCAAAUAUCUAUUUCGCAGAAAUACUGCUUGUUGGGAAAGGUAGUUUUGCUUGUCUAGCCAUAGGGCAAAUCUCACAUGGGAAAUCAUGUUUUUCUUUGGAUGCUAUUUUCAGUCCUUUGAUAUUUCUCAUAGCAUGAUAAGGUAAAUGUCCUAAGCGAAAAUGCCAAAGCUUUGUAGAAGUAGGAACAUUAGAAAUUGUAAUUUUAUUGAUACUGGAAUUGGACUGAGAUGGAGAAUCUCCAUUUACAGUGGACCGAAAUGACUCAGAAAAUGGUAAAAACUGAUUACUAGAACCUACAUUCAAAGACUUAACGUUAUUCUUGGAAAAAAAGACUAAACAGAUACUGAAAAAGACUCAGAAACUUGGGACUUGGUGCAAUUUUCAUCCAGUACAUUUUGGCCACCAAUUGCUCUACCAAACACCACGCGCAUCUUCAGGGAAAGGACCUGUAAUUUGCAAGCAUAUUUGUUAAAAAUCACAUCACAGUCAAGCUGUCUACAUAGUUGGUUGAUUGAAAAUAGAUUGUGUUUGAAAGAAGGUACAUAAAGGACAUUGUGCAAUUCAAUGUCAGAAUUUAAAAUUAUGGAGCCAAAGCUGAAAACCUUUACUCUAUAAGAAUUUGGUAGCUUUACUAGAAUGGGAUUGUCUAAUUGUUGGAUGUUAUGCAAAAGGUUUUUAUCAUGAGUCAUAUGUUGUGAUGCCCCCGAAUCUAUUAUCCAAAUAUUUGGACCAAGGGUAGUAAAGCAACAAUUAAAAGCAUCAGAGAUUGAGCAUUUACCCACACAGUUGGCACUAGCGUUAGCCUCAGAACUUGAAGCAUUGGAAUUUCCGGCUUGCACAGAUUGUAGCAUUUGAAUCAGUUUCUCACAUUGGUCAUUUGAGAACCCUUGUGGAUUCAUGGUUCCAGGCAUGAAGUUUUCAGCAGAUCCUUUUGAGCUUGGUGAAGUAUCCAACCACGUCACUGGUUCCCUGAGAGAUGUUGUUAAGUUCUCUCAGUAAUUGAAAUAUCUUUGUGCCAUUGGUCUGUCCAUAUCUCUGUUCGAGUUCACUCCAGAGAUCUUCAGCAGUUUGAGAAUAAAUUACACUUUCUGCAAUUUCUUUGCCAAGGGAAUUCAGCAGCCAGGCCAACACCAUGUCAUUGUACCUUCUCCAUUGCUCAAACAAAGGUGAAUCCGAGGAAGUGAGGAAGUAGGGAUGGCUUGCAUCAACCAUUUUGGAAGAGGUUUGUUCAAGUGCUUUAGAAGUAGCACCUUCAGUUUUUGUCUCUGCCAUGGUGAAGGAUAUUUGAAAAAGUGAAAGGAUCGAUAAUCAAGUUGUUGCUCUUGAUACCAUGAAAGAAAAAAAAAGGAACUUAGGAAAAUUUUCUUUUAUUUACUGUGUGUUUUACAAAGCAGCGUAUGCUGUACAUAUAUACACCAAGGCAGCCUAAACUAAGAGUUCUAACAAGACUCUAUCUCUAAUAGAUAGACUCCUAAUGAAACUACUUGAGAUGAUAA